GACGAACGCUGGCGGCGUGCCUAACACAUGCAAGUCGAACGGAAAGGCCCUGCUUUUGUGGGGUGCUCGAGUGGCGAACGCGUGAGUAACACGUGAGUAACCUGCCCUUGACUUUGGGAUAACUUCAGGAAACUGGGGUUAAUACCGGAUAGGAGCUCCUGCUGCAUGGUGGGGGUUGGAGAGUUUCGGCGGUUGGGGAUGGACUCGCGGCUUAUCAGCUUGUUGGUGGGGUAGUGGCUUACCAAGGCAUUGACGGGUCGCCGGCUUGAGAGGGUGACCGGGCACAAUGGGCCUGAGGUACGACCCAGACGCCUACGGGAGGCAGCGGUGGGAAAUAUUGCACAAUGGGCGGAAGCCUGAUGCAACGACGCCGCGUGCGGGAUGACGGCCUUCGGGUUGUAAACCGCUUUCGCCUGUGACGAAGCGUGAGUGACGGUAAUGGGUAAAGAAGCACCGGCUAACUACGUG
rnacentral:rRNA from 1 species